rnacentral:rRNA from 1 species
UAGUUAAAGAUUUAUCGGACAGGGAUGGCCAUGCGUACCAUUAGUUAGUUGGCGGGGUAACGGCCCACCAAGGCAGCGAUGGUUAGGGGCCCUGAGAGGGGGAUCCCCCACACUGGUACUGAGACACGGACCAGACUCCUACGGGAGGCAGCAGUGAGGAAUAUUGGACAAUGGGCGGGAGCCUGAUCCAGCCAUGCCGCGUGCGGGAAGACGGCCCUACGGGUCGUAAACCGCUUUUGUACGGGAAGAAACCUGUCUACGUGUAGAUAGCUGACGGUACCGUAAGAAUAAG